rnacentral:rRNA from 1 species
GACGAACGCUGGCGGCGUGCCUAAUACAUGCAAGUAGAACGCAGUUGCGAACGGGUGAGUAACGCGUAGGUAACUGCCUGGUAGCGGGGGAUAACUAUUGGAAACGAUAGCUAAUAACGCAUACUACCAGAUGGACCUGCGUUGUAUUAGCUAGUUGGUGAGGUAACGGCUCACCAAGGCAACGAAAAAUAGCCGACCUGGUGUGUGGAUCUGCCGCACUGGGACUGGUACACGGCCCAGACUCCUACGUGAGUCAGCAGUAGGGAAUCUUCGGCAAUGGGGGGAACCCUGACCGAGCAACGCCGCGUGAGUGAAGAAGUUUUUCGGAUCGUAAAGCUCUGUUGUUAAGGAAGCGGUACUUAACCAGAAAGGGACGGCUAACUACGUGCCAGCAGCCGCGGUAAUUC